UCUUAAAGUAAAUUAUUUACAUUUAAUUUCGACUUAAAAUUUUGUUUAAAUUUCUAAACUAAGAA
rnacentral:tRNA from 1 species